GACAGAGGUGCCAAGCGUUAGGCGGAAUCACUGGGCUUAAAGCGUGUGUAGGCGGACUUGUAAGUACCUUGUGAAAUCCCACGGCUCAACCGUGGAACUGCUCGGUAUACUGCUUGUCUUGAGCCACUUAGGGGCUGUCGGAACAAACGGUGGAGCGGUGAAAUGCGUAGAUAUCAGGAGGAACACCUGAGGCGAAGGCGGGCUACUGGGCUGAUACUGACGCUGAUGCGCGAAAGCCAGGGGAGCAAACGGG
rnacentral:rRNA from 1 species